UACGGGGGGGGCAAGCGUUGUUCGGAAUUACUGGGCGUAAAGGGCUCGUAGGUGGCCAACUAAGUCAGACGUGAAAUCCCUCAGCUUAACCGGGGAACUGCGUCUGAUACUGGAUGGCUUGAGUUUGGGAGAGGGAUGCGGAAUUCCAGGUGUAGCGGUGAAAUGCGUAGAUAUCUGGAGGAACACCGGUGGCGAAGGCGGCAUCCUGGACCAAUACUGACACUGAAAAGCGAAAGCCAGGGGAGCAAACGGG
rnacentral:rRNA from 1 species